GGGCCCUUAGCUCAAUGGUUAGAGCACCGGACUCAUAAUCCGUUGGUUGCAGGUUCGAGUCCUGCAGGGCCCACCA
rnacentral:tRNA from 1 species